GCAACGAAGAAAAAUUAGUGCAGGGAUUCAAUUAUGUCUCCCAUUUUUAAUGACAAUUUUGCUCCCUCAGUAGAUUAAUUAGCAGCAGAGAAUUCCUCCCCGAAAGCAAAUCGUAGCACACUUUAUAGCAAGAAAAGGUACAUUAAAAUGCAGCUGUGUCCCAUUAAGCAGCCAGGCUCUGCAGCCUUCUGACCAGCGUGCCUGCUAGCGUAGGCUGGCCUCCCUCCCACCCUGUCUGGGAAGACUGAAGGAGGCCUCGGGAGAGAUCUCUGACCUUGGCCUGAGAGCCAGAGCAGAACCAGAACUCCCACUUCCAAGCAAACCGUAUGUGUGACGUGGGUACAGGGGUGUUCCACCUUGUUGCUUAGAGGAAUUCAGGGAAGGACCUCUUCUUUUUAUGCCGCAGAAGCAGCCUGGCCCCAGACUGAGUCGAUAUCUAGGGAAAGAGCAGAGGAAACAGAAUAGCUCUGCAAACCUCAGUUGCUUCCACUCCCACAGCAGCCCUCGGUGGUCCUGAACUCACUCUGUAGACCAGGCUGGUCUCAGACUCCCAGAGAUCCCCCUGCCUCUGCCUCCUAGGUGCUGGGAGGCACCUCAAAACAAACAAAAAACCCAUCCUCAUCCAGUUUAGUUUCAUUCGUGUCUGAACAGAAUCAUCCUUCUGUGGACAAGCGGGAAGCGGUUUGGAUGGAGUCAGAUUCCAGAGUAGUCUCCAGACAGCAGCCUGGCUCACCAGUGGGCUGCUUUGCCGAAACCUGACUUAUCCCUGGGGUUGGAGCUGCGCAGGCCUCUUCAGCCAGGUUGUGCUGACACUGAUUUUGUCUUCACCCAGGUACAUCGAACGGAAAGCUUUUCUGGAGCGCGUGGACCACAGGCAGUUUGAAAUUGAGCGAGAUCUCAGGCUGAGCAAAAUGAAACCUUGAUGUUCUGGGGAGAAUUCGUAGCAGCUUAAUUCUGUUGACAAUGUGAGCUCUUCUCUGUGUCUGUGAAAUCUCCAGUGGUCUCCGUCAUGUUUCCAGCAAGUCCCUUUUUCUACGUUGCAGUUUGGUUAAUGUAUCUUAAUCUCACCUGGUUUCAUUUUACUUUUUAAAAUUUGUUUUUAAAUAAACAAAUAGAAGCCCUCUGUGAGGUUGGUGAAAGG
rnacentral:lncRNA from 1 species